UACGGAGGAUGCGAGCGUUAUUCGGAAUCAUUGGGUUUAAAGGGUCUGUAGGCGGGCUAUUAAGUCAGGGGUGAAAUCUUACAGCUUAACUGUGAAAUUGCCUUUGAUACUGGUAGUCUUGAAUAUUUGUGAAGUUUUUGGAAUGUGUAGUGUAGCGGUGAAAUGCAUAGAUAUUACACAGAACACCGAUUGCGGAGGCAGGGGACUAACAAAUAAUUGACGCUGAGAGACGAGAGCGUGGGGAGCGAACAGG
rnacentral:rRNA from 1 species